rnacentral:rRNA from 1 species
GGAGGCAGCAGUGGGGAAUAUUGCACAAUGGGCGCAAGCCUGAUGCAGCCAUGCCGCGUGUGUGAAGAAGGCCUUCGGGUUGUAAAGCACUUUCAGUAGUGAGGAAGGUGGUGUAGUUAAUAGCUGCAUUAUUUGACGUUAGCGGCAGAAGAAGCACCGGCUAACUCCGUGCCAGCAGCCGCGGUAAUACGGAGGGUGCGAGCGUUAAUCGGAAUUACUGGGCGUAAAGCGCAUGCAGGUGGUUAGUUAAGUCAGAUGUGAAAGCCCGGGGCUCAACCUCGGAACUGCAUUUGAAACUGGCUGACUAGAGUACUGUAGAGGGGGGUAGAAUUUCAGGUGUAGCGGUGAAAUGCGUAGAGAUCUGAAGGAAUACCGGUGGCGAAGGCGGCCCCCUGGACAGAUACUGACACUCAGAUGCGAAAGCGUGGGGAGCAAACAGGAUUAGAUACCCUGGUAGUCCACGCCGUAAACGAUGUCUACUUGGAGGUUGUGGCCUUGAGCCGUGGCUUUCGGAGCUAACGCGUUAAGUAGACCGCCUGGGGAGUACGGUCGCAAGAUUAAAACUCAAAUGAAUUGACGGGGGCCCGCACAAGCGGUGGAGCAUGUGGUUUAAUUCGAUGCAACGCGAAGAACCUUACCUACUCUUGACAUCCAGAGAACUAGCAGAGAUG